AGCGCUCGUUCACAGACGAGCGACCCGAUCAUUGGCAGAAUCGGUUUAAUUAUUAAAAAACACGAUUGUCGAGUCCCACGUGAGAUAACAUCAGCCUCUCAAAAACAAGACUUUCCUUUCUUUUACUGGGAGAGGAGAGGAGAGGAGAGGGGAGGAGAGGAGAGGAGAGGAGGAUAAGCAGAGACUUUGUUAUUAAAUGUCGAGCCAUGGCCUCAUUUCUGCUCAGGCUGAACUGAGGGACGACGCAGACGAGGACGGUGACGGCCUUGUUGUCCUCUGAGACUGGCCAGCAGGUUGGAUUAAACCUUCCUUUAUGAAUUACAGUACUGGCACCAAAAAAAAACAACCUAAUCCUCGAAAGUGAAGGAGGGACCUGAAGAUUAUCAGAGGAAAAGAGCUGAUGGUGAUUUCAUGGCUUUCCAGGGAAUCCCUGUCACACUUCACUGACGCUGACCACUGCCUACCACUCACUGACAUACAUAUAUAUAUAUAUAUAUAU